ACAGAUGAUGAACCACCUCUUCCCGGUGUGCAGGACUGAAGGGCAGAACAGAAACAGCACGCUGAGUGAGUGAGCGCCUUUCCAGGCCAGUGUGACCCCCAUCACCUGCACCAGACUUGCCACAGUGGGUCUGUGAACUCCUUUACACCUAUGGGAUUUUCUCCAGGAAGGGUGUGGGCAGAGAACACUGUUCCCAGUCAUUAAUCCCCAACGCUUCCCUCCACGAAGCAGGUGGUUCCCCAGGCUCCUUGGUAAAGAGGCCCUGGUGAUGGGCUUCUGCCUGCUCUUCCCUCACACCAGAGGGCAAGGGGUGCACAGCAGAACCUGGGGUGCCUCACUGGCAGCCCCCGAAGCUCCCGAGAGGACCCCUCGCGUAGGCUUGGUUCCUGGGAUGCCCAAGGCACCAUCCAUGAAGGCCGUGAUGCCGGUUGCAGGUGACAGCUCCUCGGACAGGGCAGCUGUCCCCAGACUGGGGCCCCUGGUCACCACAUGCUUCCAUAAUCCCCCCAAGCAAUGGCCAAACCCCUGGUAAUAUGCUGAGUGGGGACUUUCAUCAAACGCCUGCUUAAAAGCAGGGAGGGAAGUUGCAGACUCACCGUUCUGCUGAUACACGGGGGCGUUGGCUUGGGAUUGUCGGCUCUCCUGAAUGAGGUGGAGGGUCAGAAAUGAGCCCACUGAGCUGCAGCGCCCACCUGCCCAGCCACUGCACUCUCACCACCUCCCACCCCGGAUUUCACAACCUCACCUCCCCGGUGCCCAGGCCGCAGGUGCUGAGGUGUGGCGGGCUGGUCCCUGGGUCGGAGCCACGGUCGGCGUCUGUGUCCUCGCUGAGCAUGUCCUCUGCCUUGUCCAUGACAUCCUUCAUCUGCUCGAUGAACGUUUCCCGCUCGGCCUGCAGGAUAAAGUCAUGCUCCACCUGCAAAGGGACAUACUGCCAGUGAGGACCAGCUGCAAGGCCAAGACCACCCUAGGUCUUCAUCUGGAUUGACGGAUGUCUACCCUGUACCAGGCCCCAAGGGAAGAAUGGUGAAAGGGUGCAGUCCCCAAGACAGGGGCUGGACAGCUCAGCAAGUGACAUGGAUGGCCCCAGGAUGGGAGGAGAGCAGCCUCAUCUUGAGAAGCAACUCCCUCCUCCAAGCAUGGGACCUGGGCCAGCAAUGCCCUGCCCCAGCUGGAGCUGGUUACAGACCCUGAGGCCGGUCCAGCCAUCUUCAGAACAGUUUCAGUGGCCCAGUGAGGACCUGGUGUUUGUGCUGCGCUGACGAACCAGCUGCUUGCUGCUGACAAAGACUCCUCCCUGACCAAAGCGCAGCUCACGCCUCUGACCCUCCAACUAGGCUUGACUAGGCCCCAUCAUGUCUUCAGCCUAAGCCAGUUGUAGAAAGAAUUCCCAGCCUUUGUAUCUGACCAUAUUCCUCAUCUCCCACCUUUGAGGUUGAACAAAGCCUCUCACCCACCCCCAGCAAGGAUCCUGUUACGAGGGUUUCUCCAGAAUCCCUGACCUUGAUGUCUCCUCUUAGCUAUUUUCCAGCCACCCAUCACCACACUGCUCCUCUGCUACCAAUCCCCUGUGGUCUCUGCUGCAUUUGGAGUUAAACUCAUUCUCUCUCGCUUAUUGCCACAGUCCUGAAUAAAGUCUUCCCGACCACUGUA